UACGUAGGGGGCAAGCGUUGUCCGGAAUUACUGGGCGUAAAGCGCACGUAGGCGGAUCGAUCAGUCAGGGGUGAAAUCCCAGAGCUCAACUCUGGAACUGCCUUUGAUACUGUCGAUCUAGAGUAUGGAAGAGGUGAGUGGAAUUCCGAGUGUAGAGGUGAAAUUCGUAGAUAUUCGGAGGAACACCAGUGGCGAAGGCGGCUCACUGGUCCAUUACUGACGCUGAGGUGCGAAAGCGUGGGGAGCAAACAGG
rnacentral:rRNA from 1 species